UACGAAGGGGGCUAGCGUUGUUCGGAAUCACUGGGCGUAAAGCGCACGUAGGCGGAUGUGUCAGUCAGGGGUGAAAUCCCGGGGCUCAACCUCGGAACUGCCUUUGAUACAGCACGUCUUGAGUCCGAUAGAGGUGGGUGGAAUUCCUAGUGUAGAGGUGAAAUUCGUAGAUAUUAGGAAGAACACCGGUGGCGAAGGCGGCCCACUGGAUCGGUACUGACGCUGAGGUGCGAAAGCGUGGGGAGCAAACAGG
rnacentral:rRNA from 1 species